GGCUGAGUGUGCUACACCAAGAAGGGGAGAAGACAGAAUAUUCUAACAGGCUGUGGGCCCCCGCCGCCAUCUGGAUCUCGGUUUCCUCACCUCUGAGGGGUCUUUUCCAGUUCCAAUAUGCAAAUGGUUCAUCACUCGCUGUAGAAUAGAAUCAGAGCUGUGAUAUGCUGUCCACGUGGCCCACAGACUCAGGGAGGGUCUGAAACUCUGCCAGGGCCUACUGUGCUCCUUUCAGAGGAGCACCACCCCACCCAAGGCACCCCAGGGUGUCUCAGGAGGGCGGCCCAGGACCACUCCGAAUGCACUGAAAGCUGACUGUGUUCAGUAGGGGAGAGGGGCCCCUUCUCUAAAUAUUUUCUCUCCAGGUUUGGCUGGAGACAGUCACAGCCGGUCAGGGGGCUCAAAGAGGCGCCAGGCCUGCCAAGAACCACCUGAGGAUGGCGUUUGUGAGGAAAACCCAGGGAGCAGGGCUGGCCCACUCCCAGGCAGCAAAAGUACGGGGCCACCCUCCCCUUCCUGGGUUGGAGCCAGGGCACCCACUGUGGCUGGAAGGGAGAAAGGGAGUUGUGGGCCCAGGCAGCCCCCAGAAAACAGCCCGCAGCCCUCCAGUCAGCUGCCGCGUGUUUGUUUUCACAGCUGCUCCUCCAGCUCGGCUGUUCCAGUGAGCAAAGGAAUCUGUUUGUCUGAGAAAAAGAAUGUGGCAGAGAGGCGGGAGGCAGCCCCAGGCAGCCCCGGCAGCCUCCUCAGCUUCGGAGCUCACCAAAACCAGCCAGCCACCUCGGGGAGUCACCCAAGAGCCUAGAUGCAGGCUACAGACGGGUUGGUUACUGGUUCUGCUCUAAGGACUGGCCUGCUGGACUCGCUGCGCUUCUCUGCCAGCUGUUCCCUCUUCCGCCUUCUGUUUGCUUUGAUCUGAGGUUGACAGACCACCUGGCCUGCUAAACUGGGAAGGUAAGUAGUGAUGCAUUUUAGGCAAUGUCUUCUGCUUAUGCUCAGCAAUGCAUGAGUCUCAGAGCGGUGGCCAGAGAAAUGGCGAAUCGUCGUAUAUUGAGCGAGUGAUAAUGGAAUCCAGGAGGUGGAAAUUACAAGUUGAAAAGUAAAAUCAAUGCCCUGACUGUGAAAUGACUGAAUGCCUGGUGAGGAACUGUGUCGAGGUGCACCCCCACUCCCCUUACUCCACACCGACCUUUAAGACGCUCACCAGUUCAGAAGUUCCUUGAGGGCAGGAAGCAUAUUUUAAUCACGGGUAAUCAUAGCAUAUCAGGGCAGAAAUGGGCCUUAGAGAGCUUCCAGCCCUGGAGUGGCAAAUCGGUUUCAUUUUGGUGCCAGCUACAAUCAUUUAGUGGUGGCUGCCUGAAGCGCUGGGCCGAGAAGUGUUCUGCGGGUCUCUGGGCUCCUUGAGGAGUCGGCCAUGAUCAAUUAGCGAUGUUUACCAUGGCCAGGGGAGUGGCAAGGAGGCAGCACUUUGCUCAGAUUACCCAACCCCUAUCUAGUCCAACCUGUCCCGCUGACAGAUGAGGAAAGAACUGCUAAGCAGCUCUGUGUCCCCACCCACACCCCAGCACAUUCUUGUCCCCUAGCAGCCAUCCACUUCCAGGGGUCUGUGCAUAGUAUUCAAGGGUCUAUGAACUUGAGUGGGAGAGACAUUUACAUCUUUGUUUCACUAAACUCUGAGAUCAAGCACUUCCUUCCAUGAUGAAUGUAGGCAACAAACUGUGGUAGCAACAGCAGCACCUGUGACUGUCACCAAUAGAAACCACAGCUAUCUUCCUAGCACAUCAGAGCUGCUGCUGCUGUCUCUAAAGAUCACUUACACCCCUCGCUAGUCACUGUGGUCUUUGUAUGAAAGGAUCGUAGUUAUUAGACCCAACACUAAAUCUUGUUACUUAAUGCAUUAAUAAAGAAACACACAUAUUACUGAUCCCGAAGUUGCUUCUUAAUAUUUGCAUAACUGCAUUUCAAUAGAGAAUUGGUUUCCUCUGUCAUACUAUUUUAUGCAAUUAAAUUCAUCAUCCUGAGAAG
rnacentral:lncRNA from 1 species